UACGAAGGGGGCUAGCGUUGUUCGGAUUUACUGGGCGUAAAGCGCACGUAGGCGGAUCGUUAAGUCGGGGGUGAAAUCCUGGAGCUCAACUCCAGAACUGCCUUCGAUACUGGCGAUCUUGAGUCCGGAAGAGGUGAGUGGAACUCCUAGUGUAGAGGUGGAAUUCGUAGAUAUCAGGAGGAACACCAAUAGCGAAGGCAGCUCGCUGGGACGUUACUGACACUGAGGCGCGAAAGCGUGGGGAGCGAACAGG
rnacentral:rRNA from 1 species